rnacentral:piRNA from 1 species
UACCUUCCCAGGGAGCAUCUACCAUAUCAAC